UACCCAGUUACACUGCAUCUGACCACAAUAUACCCAAUACAGUGUACAGUGUAUUGGGUAUAUUGUGGUCAGAUGCAGUGUAACUGGGUA